rnacentral:rRNA from 1 species
GGAGUCUGGGCCGUGUCUCAGUCCCAAUGUGGCCGUUCAACCUCUCAGUCCGGCUACCGAUCGUCGCCUUGGUGGGCCGUUACCCCGCCAACUAGCUAAUCGGACGCGAGUCCAUCUCUCAGCGAUAAAUCUUUGAUAUUCCUGUCAUGCGGCAAAAAUAUAUUAUGCGGUAUUAGCGCUCUUUUCAGGGCGUUAUUCCCCACUGAGAGGCAGGUUACUCACGCGUUACUCACCCGUCCGCCACUAAGUUAAGCAAGGAAAUCCACUAGCAAGCUAGCAUCAGACCAGCGCUUAACUCCGUUCGACUUGCAUGUGUUAAGCACGCCGCCAGCGUCGUCCUGAGCCACUGAUCAAACUACU